AUGAACGCUGGCGGCGUGCUUAACACAUGCAAGUCGAACGGAAAGGCCACAGCUUGCUGUGGUACUCGAGUGGCGAACGGGUGAGUAACACGUGGGUGAUCUGCCCUGUACUUCGGGAUAAGCUUGGGAAACUGGGUCUAAUACCGGAUAGGAAUCACAUGUGGGUGUGUGGGUGGAAAUCUUUUGCGGUAUGGGAUGAGCUCGCGGCCUAUCAGCUUGUUGGUGGGGUAAUGGCCUACCAAGGCGUCGACGGGUAGCCGGCCUGAGAGGGUGUACGGCCACAUUGGGACUGAGAUACGGCCCAGACUCCUACGGGAGGCAGCAGUGGGGAAUAUUGCACAAUGGGCGCAAGCCUGAUGCAGCGACGCCGCGUGGGGGAUGACGGCCUUCGGGUUGUAAACUCCUUUCGUCAGGGACGAAGCGAAAGUGACGGUACCUGGAUAAGAAGCACCGGCUAACUACGUG
rnacentral:rRNA from 1 species